rnacentral:rRNA from 1 species
AGUGAACGCUGGCGGUAGGCCUAACACAUGCAAGUCGAACGGCAGCACAGUAAGAGCUUGCUCUUACGGGUGGCGAGUGGCGGACGGGUGAGGAAUACAUCGGAAUCUACUUUUUCGUGGGGGAUAACGUAGGGAAACUUACGCUAAUACCGCAUACGACCUACGGGUGAAAGCAGGGGAUCUUCGGACCUUGCGCGAUUGAAUGAGCCGAUGUCGGAUUAGCUAGUUGGCGGGGUAAAGGCCCACCCAGGCGACGAUCCGUAGCUGGUCUGAGAGGAUGAUCGGCCACACUGGAACUGAGACACGGUCCAGACUCCUACGGGAGGCAGCAGUGGGGAAUAUUGGACAAUGGGCGCAAGCCUGAUCCAGCGAUACCGCGUGGGUGAAGAAGGCCUUCGGGUUGUAAAGCCCUUUUGUUGGGAAAGAAAAGCAGCAGGUUAAUACCCCGCUGUUCCGACGGUACCCAAAGAAUAAGCACCGGCUAACUUCGUG